rnacentral:rRNA from 1 species
GCGGCAGGCUAACACAUGCAGUCGAGCGGUAGCACAGAGAGCUUGCUCUCGGGUGACGAGCGGCGGACGGGUGAGUAAUGUCUGGGAAACUGCCUGAUGGAGGGGGAUAACUACUGGAAACGGUAGCUAAUACCGCAUAACGUCGCAAGACCAAAGUGGGGGACCUUCGGGCCUCAUGCCAUCAGAUGUGCCCAGAUGGGAUUAGCUAGUAGGUGGGGUAACGGCUCACCUAGGCGACGAUCCCUAGCUGGUCUGAGAGGAUGACCAGCCACACUGGAACUGAGACACGGUCCAGACUCCUACGGGAGGCAGCAGUGGGGAAUAUUGCACAAUGGGCGCAAGCCUGAUGCAGCCAUGCCGCGUGUGUGAAGAAGGCCUUCGGGUUGUAAAGCACUUUCAGCGGGGAGGAAGGCGAUAAGGUUAAUAACCUUGUCGAUUGACGUUACCCGCAGAAGAAGCACCGGCUAACUCCGUGCCAGCAGCCGCGGUAAUACGGAGGGUGCAAGCGUUAAUCGGAAUUACUGGGCGUAAAGCGCACGCAGGCGGUCUGUCAAGUCGGAUGUGAAAUCCCCGGGCUCAACCUGGGAACUGCAUUCGAAACUGGCAGGCUAGAGUCUUGUAGAGGGGGGUAGAAUUC